GCCUGCCCAGUGACAAGUUUAACGGCCGCGGUACCCUAACCGUGCAAAGGUAGCAUAAUCACUUGUUCUUUAAAUAAGGACUAGUAUCAACGGCAUCACGAGGGCUAUACUGUCUCCUCUCUCCAAUCAGUGAAACUGAUCUCCCCGUGAAGAAGCGGGGAUUUAGAUAUAAGACGAGAAGACCCCAUGGAGCUUUAAGCAACAUAUUUAACUUCAUAUAUUCAUGCCAGCCUAACAAAAAGAAUUAAAUACUAGCUUUAGGUUGGGGGGACCACGGAGUAUAAUUCAACCUCCAUGACAAACGGGCUACGCCCUUAUCCACGAGCCACAACUCUAAGAAUCAAUAAACUGAUGUUUAAUGACCCGAUAUUCGAUCAACGAACCAAGUUACCCUGGGGAUAACAGCGCAAUCUACUUCAAGAGCCCCUAUCGACAAGUAGGUUUACGACCUCGAUGUUGGAUCAGGGUAUCCUAGUGGUGCAGCCGCUACUGAAGGUUCGUUUGUUCAACGAUUAAAACCCUACGUGAUCUG
rnacentral:rRNA from 1 species